UACGAGUGCUUCAAGCGUUAUCCGGAAUCACUGGGCUUAAAGAGUUCGUAGGCGGUCAGGAAAGUGGGGUGUGAAAGCCCUCGGCUUAACCGAGGAAUUGCGCUCCAAACUCCCUGACUUGAGGAGGCUAGAGGUAAGCGGAACUGAUGGUGGAGCGGUGAAAUGCGUUGAUAUCAGCAGGAACACCGGAGGCGAAGGCGGCUUACUGGGGCAUUUCUGACGCUGAGGAACGAAAGCUAGGGGAGCGAACGGG
rnacentral:rRNA from 1 species